rnacentral:rRNA from 1 species
CUACGGGUGGCUGCAGUGAGGAAUAUUGCACAAUGGGGGGAACCCUGAUGCAGCAACGCCGCGUGGAGGAUGACGCAUUUCGGUGUGUAAACUCCUUUUAUAUGUCAAGAAAAUGACGGUAGCAUAUGAAUAAGCACCGGCUAACUCCGUGCCAGCAGCCGCGGUAAUACGGAGGGUGCAAGCGUUACUCGGAAUCACUGGGCGUAAAGGACGCGUAGGCGGGGUGGAAAGUCAGGUGUGAAAUCCUACAGCUUAACUGUAGAACUGCACUUGAAACUUCUAAUCUAGAGUAUGGGAGGGGAGAUGGAAUUAGUGGUGUAGGGGUAAAAUCCGUAGAUAUCACUAGGAAUACCUAAAGCGAAGGCGAUCUCCUGGAACAUUACUGACGCUAAGGCGUGAAAGCGUGGGGAGCAAACAGGAUUAGAUACCCGAGUAGUC